UAGGGAAUUUUCCACAAUGGGCGAAAGCCUGAUGGAGCAACGCCGCGUGCAGGAUGAAGGUCUUCGGAUUGUAAACUGCUUUUAUCUGUGACGAUUAUGACGGUAGCAGAUGAAUAAGGAUCGGCUAACUCCGUGCCAGCAGCCGCGGUCAUACGGAGGAUCCAAGCGUUAUCCGGAAUUACUGGGCGUAAAGAGUUGCGUAGGUGGCAUUGUAAGUCAGUAGUGAAAGCGUUCGGCUCAACCGAAUAUCCAUUACUGAAACUACAAAGCUAGAGGAUGAGAGAGGUUAUUGGAAUUCCUAGUGUAGGAGUGAAAUCCGUAGAUAUUAGGAGGAACACCGAUGGCGUAGGCAGAUAACUGGCUCAUUCCUGACACUAAGGCACGAAAGCGUGGGUAGCAA
rnacentral:rRNA from 1 species